rnacentral:rRNA from 1 species
GACGAACGCUGGCGGCGUGCCUAAUACAUGCAAGUAGAACGCACAGGGUGCACCGUAGUUUACUACACCGUAUUCUGUGAGUUGCGAACGGGUGAGUAACGCGUAGGUAACCUGCCUGGUAGCGGGGGAUAACUAUUGGAAACGAUAGCUAAUACCGCAUAAGAACAUUUAUUGCAUGGUAGAUGUUUAAAAGGUGCAAAUGCAUCACUACCAGAUGGACCUGCGUCGUAUUAGCUAGUAGGUGAGGUAACGGCUCACCUAGGCGACGAUACAUAGCCGACCUGAGAGGGCGAUCGGCCACACUGGGACUGAGACACGGCCCAGACUCCUACGGGAGGCAGCAGUAGGGAAUCUUGGGCAAUGGGGGGAAGCCUGACCGAGCAACGCCGCGUGAGUGAAGAAGGUUUUCGGGUCGUAAAGCUCUGUUGUUAAGGAAGAACGAGCGUGAGAAUGGCAAGUUCAUACUGUGACGGUACUUAACCAGAAAGCGACGGCUAACUACGUG